GAAGGAAGGAAGGGGUGAGAGAGAGAGAGAGAGAAGGGAGAGGGAGAGAGAAAAUAAGAAAGAAAGAAAGAAAGAGGGGGGAAGGAAGGAUGGAAGGAGCUCCCAUCCGCUCCCGCCCCCCAGCUCAGGCUGCUCCUCCCCCCUCCCACGUUCCUGUCCCUGGAUGCAGCCGUGGAGGGGGCGAAAACAGCCCGAUUUCAGGCUGCUUCUCACCCUCCCCACGUUCUUGUCACUGGCUGCAGCCGCGGAGGGGGCGGAAACAGCCCGAUUUCCAUAACCUGCAGCGACUUUCCCCCUUCAGUUUUCAGAGGGAAAAAGUGCGGGUUAUGGUCCGUAAAAUACGGUUUAAAAGUUUUUGCGUCUAGGGGGCAGCUGCCCCCCCUGCCCCUCGCUGGGUACACCCAUGUAUGUAGGUAUGGUUUGUGCUCUCCUGAGCUCAGAUAUUUAGUGAAGAUAAUAAAUAAAGCUUACUGGCAUAAGUGUUACAGUACUAUAGUAUGAAUUUAAAAAUUGAGGAUUUAUACAUUGUGUUAGAACAGACCCACUGACAUUUAAUGGGGCUUAAGUUAGUUGUGAUUCAUUUACAUUCCAUUGAUUUCAAUGGAUCUAUAUAUGAAGUAUGACUAUGUCUGGAUCUAGCACACAAUAUUUAUCAGUGAGAGAUCCAGAGCUAGACAUAAUUUGGUAACCCCUGCUCAGACUGGGUGAAAUCUAACAGAGUCUGAUUUUCCCCUUCAGCCCUCUAUGCUCCUGAAAAAUAUGCUCCAGAGGAUUGCUGAAACCUCUGGAGAUUAGGGGAAUGCAAGAGAAGGGAGGAAUAGUGGAAGCCCCAUUGCAUUAGCAAUGAGCUAUACAUGCCAUCUACAUCAUUGGGAUUCUGACCAACUACAGAGUUGUCCUAUGAAUUGUGGAAUAAGGAACUGUAUUCCCACAAAAAGUUUAUUUUUACAAUAUUAAUGGAGUCAAUUUCUGAGGCAAAGUUCUGAGGGUUUGGAAGGCUGCAUUUGGUCCCAGAGUGUGAGCUUUCUCCACCACUGAUAUAGACAAUUCUGUAAUGGUCUGACUUAGGCCACAGCCACACCAGGUAUUUAGAACAGCAUUAUACCACUUUAAACAGUCUUAGCUUCCCCCAAAGUAUCCUGGGGAAUGUAGUUUGUUAGGAGGCCCCUUAUUCCCCUCAAAGAGAUACAUUUGCCAUAUUUCCCUUGGAAGAAGAAUUGAUUGAUAAACUACAGGCAACCCACCCACCCUCAAUUUACGCAGGGGUUACGUUCCAAGGCAAUGUGUAUUUACCAUAUUUUUCCAUCUAUAAGACAACCCCCCUAUAUAAGACACCCCCUAUUUUGGGGGACUCAGAUUUAAGAAAAUGGGGGAGAUGUAUCCGUGCAUAAGACACCCCCUAAUUUUUGACAUUACUUUUUUGGGGUGGGAACCUAGUCUUAUACAGUGGUGCCUCGACUUAUGAAUUUAAUCCGUUCCGAAGGCACCUUCGUAGGUUGAAAAAUUCGUAAGUCGAAAAGCGCCAUUGGAAACGCGAUUUCCCAUAGGAAUGCAUUGGAAAUGGAAAAAUUCGUAAGUCGAAGCAACCCCAUCUAGAAAUUCGUAAGUCAAAAAAACCCUAUCUAAAACCGCCACGGUUUCUGUUCGGAUGUCGAGAAAUUCGUAAGCGUUUGCCCCAUUAGUAAGUCGAAAAAUUCGGUUGUCGAGUCGUUUGUAAGUCGAGGUACCACUGUACAUGGAAAAAUACGGUAAGUGAAAUCGCGUAUAUUUGAGACACCAUCGAAAAAGCCUGUAAACAUCCCAUUCCGCCUCUGCCCUGCCCUGAACAUUCGGAGCUGUCCAGAUUGACUUAGGUUGGCACCAUCCCACCACAUUUGAUAAAAUCCUGCCAGGUGAGGUGGUGAUAUUUUCAGAGGCGUCCAUCCUGCCCCAAAUUGGAUAAAGUUAAGUCAGAAUCACUUUUCGCUCCACCAUCUUGAUUCAGAAUGGCUGCUGGGUAUCCAAACACCAAUGAAGACUUUCACUCCCACUUUGGGAGCCCUUGUGCCAAAUUUGGAGGAUAUAUCUCGAGAGGUGGUUGAACCUAUAGAGAACACAUAGGCAUUGUUAUUGUUGGCAUCCAUCUGUCUUCAGAGACAGCUCAUGGGCAAAUGGAUGAACUGCUUUUCAAAGUAUGUAGAAGUAGACAAUGACAUUUAUAUGAAAUACAUACAGAGGUUUCCUGUUACUUUCCCUUACAAAUGACCCUGUGAGGAAACAUUUUACCACACCUUGAUUUAAAAUCCGGCAGGCUGCCAGCUAAAGUUGCCUCGGGCCCUGGAUCUGGUCUUUGGGCUGCCAGUUUGCCCUUCGUAAUAUAAACCAGGGCUGUGACAAAUAGGGAUGGAAUUUUCUUGAUGUCAAGCUUAUUCACACACACAGUUGUCCCCCCCCUAAUUCCUAUCUCACUCCUUAAUCUUGACAAGAAGCAAUUCCCCCCCUCCAGUUCUGCUAAAAAUGUGAACAAUUCUUUCAUUAUUAUAUGUGCAUUAUUAUUUGCAAAUAUAAGCUUCCUAAAGUAACCAGAGCUUAAACAGAUACAAGCAGCAAUUAUGUACAGUAUAUAACUCUGUAAAAUUGUAUAAAAAUGCACAUAACUGUAUAAAUAUACUUACAAAACUAUGCUGCAGAAACAUAUUAAACCACAUGGGGCUUAACCUUUUUAUAAAUAUUGAAUGUAUAACAUGCAUAUAUAUAUUUCAUAUAAUUAGUUGGGCUUAAAAAAAGAGUGCAACAACAGCUCUGACAUAAGAGGGCACUUGGUGCAAGAGGCAGUCUGGUGUGAUGGGGUCACAAACAUAAUCUGUUCAUAAACCCAUCUAAAACAGAAUUAUUCUCUCUUCCUAGUGGCAACAUACCUCUUAAUCUCUCUCACCCACACACCGUUCACAGGUGGAAAACUUAGGAGGCAGUUUCAAAAAUUUGGAGGACUGGGUGAAAGAUUCUGGGACGAGUCCUGCUACUACAGAGAUAGCAGCAGAAUAAGAGCAACUACUAAAGGAAGAGUGGCCACUGGUAAAUUUCUCCCUCUGAACUUUUCACUUGGGUUAUUUAUUCAUUUAUCAAAUUUAUUGAAGGACUUUAUGAGCCACCACCCUUUCCCUCCCGAAAGCUGAACCAGAACUUCUUAAAUUCCAAACAAUCAAGAUGCCACCACCUUCAGCAAAUAAAAAAAAAGUUAUUAAACUUAUUUGUAACUGUAACCAAAUAAUAAUCUGGGCUGCAUUUUAUAAAUACAUGGCUUGUUUAUGAGCUUGUAAAGUUCCAGUUCCAGUUUACAGGUUGAUACCAAACUUGAACCCUUCUCUGACCCAUACAAAGACUGUAAGGUAGGUCUAUAAACCCAAAGCUCUGAUCAUUGCUAGGUUAGGCUUUCCCCCACCCAACAAUGUCCUAUAACUUUCAUCCUGAAAGUAAACAUUUGUUCUUCUAACAUGCAUGCCUGCACGGAAAAGUAUCAUGGUUUAUGAAAGUGGGACCAGUGCAUGUCACUUGAAGCAUUUCAUGCUGGCAUGGAAUUAAUUUGCAAAUGGCUCAUACACUUACUAUGAAAAGGCAGAUUUCCACAUGGAAAUUUGAUCAAAGUUUUUUUUAAAACCUCUUACAAAGUUUACUUAGGGAGAGAGGUGGCUGCUAAAACUACUACUAACUCCUCUUGCCCUUUAGUAUAGUAAAGGGAGCAGAUUGAGACCAUACCUUGGAAGGGACAGGGAUCAUUUAUGAUUAUUAUUUCUUAAAUUUAUAUACCACCCCUUCAUCUAAAGAUCACAGGGCGAAUCACAACAUAAAAAUCAAAAUGAGAAUACAUAACAAAAAAAAACCAAUAGCAAACCAAUAACACCCCUCCUCCCACAAACACAAUUAAAUCAGCCAAAGGCCUGAAUGUAUAGAGAAACGUUUUUGCCUGGUGCCUAUACUGUAGAUAUGUAAUGAAGGCGCCAGGUGAGCCACCUUGGGGAGAGCGUUCCACAAGUGGGGCGUCACCACAGAAAAGACCUCUUUAUUGUGUUGUCACCCUCUGAAUCUCUCAUGGAAGAGGCACACAACAAAGGGCCUCAGAUGACAGUCACAGGGUCUGGGUCAGUUCAUAUGGGAAGAGGUGGUCCUUGAGAUAUUGUGGUCCUGAGCAGGUUUUAUAGGUCAAAACCAGUACUUUGAUUUGGGCCCAGAAACUGACUGGCAGCUAGUUCAAGAUUGAUAUUAUAUGCUCAGUCUUGAGCUGGUGAGCAACAUGGCUGCUGCAAUGAGGAUGUAGACUCAGGGGCCUAUGGAGGGUGUAUUGCCGUCGGGCGUUUCAAAACAUGGAGCCAACAUUAGUUCUGUGUAUAUUAAAAGGUCACCUCCUUCCCUUUGCAACCUGUUGAUUUCUGUGGUCAGUGGAGGGUUAUCUUUUGGAUUGUGCCCCUUUAUGUGGCAAAUAUUGAUCAAGCAAGAGAAGGUAGACUAUUUUAUAAUGGACACUCCUGCUCAAAUUGGCUGCCCAGAUAAAUUUGUAAACAUAAUUCGGCUCCUCCAUGAUAAUAUGACAGCAACAAUCGCAGAUAACAAUGGCUCUCAAAGUGAACCAUUCACAGUGGGACCAGCUGUUAAACAGGGUUGUGUUAUUGCCCCAACUCUAUUCAUUAUUUUCAUUGCCAUGAUCCUACACCUUGUUGAAGGGAAACUCCCUACCGGAGUAGAAAUCAUAUAUCGAACAGAUGGAAAGCUCUUCAAUCUGAGCAGGCUGAAAGCAAAAAGUAAGGUUACCGUAACUUCCGUCAUAGAGCUUCAGUAUGCUGAUGACAACAUAGUGUGUGCACGCUCGGAGGAUGACCUCCAAACCAUCCUAAAUAUCUUUGCAGAAGCUUACGAAAAGCUUGGCCUAUCACUCAACAUCAAAAAAACCAAAGUGCUGCACCAACAAGUACAAAAUAACCCCUCUGCAGUGCCACAAAUCCAACUCAGUGGUGUAACGGUGGAAAAUGUUGAUCACUUCUCAUACCUAGGCAGUUACCUUUCCACAAGGGCCAACAUUGAUGCCAAAAUCCAGCAUCGCCUGAGCUCUGUGAGUGCGGUUUUCUCCCGAUUGAAGUGCAGAGUGUUUGAGGACCGGGACAUUCGCAGGGAAACCGAAAUGCUUGUUUACAAAGCUAUUGUACUACCAACCUUACUAUAUGCUUGUGGUACAUGGACCACUUAUAAACGCCAUCUCCAACUGCUCGAAAGAUUCCAUCAACGGUGUCUCCAAAUUUUUUUACACAUCACUUGGGAAGACAGGCAAACUAAUAUCAGUGUACUGGAAGAAGCAAAGAUCACCAGUGUUGAAGCAAUGAUUCUUCAACAUCAACUUUGUUGGACUGGUCAUGUUGUGCGGAUGCCUGAUGAUCAUCUUCCAAAGCAACUACUCUAUUCCAAACUUAAAAAUGGAAAACGUAAUGCUGGUGGUCAACAAAAGAGGUUUAAAAACUGUCUCAAGCAAAUCUUUAAAAGUGUAGUAUAAACACUGACAACUGGGAGACACUGGCCUGCGAGUGCUUCAAUUGGAGAACAGCCUUUACCAAAGGUGUCAUGAGCUUUGAAGAAAUUUGAUCUCAGGAUGCAAUGGAGAAACGUGCUAAGAGGAAGGCACGCUUGGCAUAUCCACACCUUGAUCAGCUCCUGCCUGGAAGCCAAUGUCCCCACUGUGGAAGGACGUGUGGAUCCAAAAUUGGCCUCCACAGUCACUUAUGGACCCAUCUAUGGAAGAUAAUCUUACUUGGCUACGAGUGAUCGCCAAAGAGAGUGAUCAAGCAAGAGAAAACUAAAAUAAAAAAAAUUCCUUCCAGUAGCACUUUAGAGACCAACUAAGUUUGUCAUAGGUAUGAACUUUCGUGUGCAUGCAUGACAAAUUAGUUGGUCUCUAAGGUGCUACUGGAAGGAUUUUUUUUAUUUUUGUUUUGACUACAUCAGACCAACACGGCUACCUACCUGUAACAAGCAAGAGAAGGUAGACUACUUUAUAAUGGACACUCCUGCACAAAGUAGAAGGGGGCAGAAAGACAAUUGAUUUCCAGUAUCUUGGUAUGAAUACUUACGCUCCUGCUGCGCUUGAGUUCAUUUCUGGUAGCAGGCACUUCAGAUAGAUCAAGAUUGCCCACACAAAGAUCCAAGUCUAAGCUGAAAGAAGGUGGUCUUUGUGCAGUUGAUAGAAGUGGGAUUUGUAUGGAAUUCUGAUUGCUCUUCUGAUAUAAUCUGUCUUCUUAAGUAAUGCCCUUACAUUUUUCAUGGUAUUUACUUGAGAGUCAUCUCUAGAUCUUUUUUUGGUAAGAAAAAACUCUUCCAGCUUUUUUCAUGUGAUAUUGUUUUAAAAACCUUGCAAUUGGGAAUGGCCUUACUUCCUCACAUAAGCUGACAUUUGAGACAGAUGCAUCUCGCAACUGUGCCAGCUUGUUUCCAAGGACUCAUCAGAGUGAGCAUCCUUGAAGCUCAGCAUUAGGUACCAAAAUUGUCAAUGCUUAUGGUAGUCAAGUUGAACACAGUUUUGUGAUAAAAUUAUAUUGUUUUUCUGUUUGCUUUCAGUUAUGUAACUUCUAACAGCAUUAUUGUUAUAACUGUCUUUAUUACUUUGUAACUUUAGAGCUUUAGAAACUUUAAAAUAUGUUAAUGUCUUCUUCAAAACUUUUCCAUGGGGAUAUACUAAACAUCCAAAUUCUGGAAACAAAGAAGUGACUUCUGUAUUGGGAAGAGAACACAGUUAAUCUACUAUGUUGUCUGUUUGCUAUGCAUUUGGACACUUCUUAAACUAUUGCAACCAAAUUUUGCAUGAUAUCAAGGAGAUGAAGCAGCAGGUUUUCAUGUAUGUUUGGAUACAAUUGGAUGCCAAUCUGAAUCAAAGUGGCAGACUGAAUUUUUCAAACUGCACUGGUUUUUUGGUUUCUUAAAUUUCCUUAAAUGCUGCAUAGAAGACUACUAGUAAUCAUAUCAUCCUAUCAAAUUUGCAGCUGACAUUCCUUCUCAUAAUGAUCAAUGUGGAGGGGAUGGGAAGAUUCACCUUCCUUUUUACUUAAAGAGAAGAGUGAUGAGCCAAUGUGAUGUUUAUUUCCUUCAGCUGUAUUGUUCUUUCUGCCUGUGUUUGUCUGCAUAUCAUCUUGCAGAAUUAAUCAGGGUGGUCUUGUGGUCUUAAGUGCUGAUCUGAAUUCUACUUACAUAUUGGUUCCUCAAUUAUUGCCAAGGUGGUAAACUUGCAGUGAGGAUAUCUGCAUGUUGUCUGCAGUAUUUUAAAAAUCAUUUUACAGUACAUGCACUUUCGAUUAUUGGUGAGAGCUGUAUUCUUCUCACUUCAGACCAUAGUUUGUUGGAACAGAAUUCAGAAUCAGGAGUGAUUCUCUUCUCUGCAACUCCAGCUUGUGAGAAACAUUGAAAUUAAUUGAUAGCAGUAUUUGGGAUGAAUUAUUCCAUUAACUUAAUAAAUAAAUAAAUCUGGCUGGCUUAUAAAAAACGGUUAAUCUAUUGCUUGUUCAUUCGGAAAGUUUUCAGUGUGUAAUAAUUUUUAAAUGUUAUAAGCGUAUUCCCGUGAUAUUUAACUUUUGGCAGUAAAACACUCUUUGUAAGCAUAUCUGGUUUUGCAACACCACCUAUUUCAUGCUGAGAAGGCCCAUUUCAAAUUCUGGAUGUUUGUUUCCCUAUUAACUUUUGUUCCAUUAAGGGCUUAUCCACACUUACCUUUCCUCCACUCUUUCUAGGCAUGGUCCGUGAUUUAAAGCUCCGUGUUCAAGUGCCCCUUCUGUUGUUGUUGCUCUGGAGCUUUCCUUGUGAAAACUCCCUGUUUAAAACCCAUGGAAAUCCUGAAUUGACAUUUGCUCCAAUUCAUCUUUAAAGAGUGAGUUUUCACUUUAAAGAGUGGGUUUUCACAAGGAAAGCUUGGGGCAAAAACACGCACACAAAAAAACACUUGGAGCAUUAAAGUGUGCACCUCAGCUGUCUGAAAAGAGCAGGGCAAAAGGUAAAUGUGGAUAAACCGUAUGAGUUAGAUGUUUUUAAGAUUUAUUCAUGUUGUCACCUUGAACAUAAAUGAGAAUGUCUAAUGGUGUACCUCAGUUCCUACAGUGGUGUGUGGUCAGUGGACUAGGGAGACUAGGCUAGUCUCCUAAAUGGUAAAUUAGAGUAUUAAAGUAUUUAAAGUCUGGUGCCUCCUUCCCAAAGCCCAGGAAGCUUCUGCCUGGCUUAGGGAGGAAAGGCGAUGCUCAUGUGUGGGACAUUGGGAUGCGCCCCCCCCCCCCGGAAUUGUCUUUGCAUACUGGUGUCUCUGGCCCUAACUGUUCCCCUAUGAAAAAAUUCACCCACAUUCCUGGUUUCUACCUUUACAGGGGUUGUACUUGAGACUAAAAUUUAGCUUUGCAUAAUAUGUGGCUUUAUAAUUAGUGUGAACAUGUAAGAUCUAGAGUAGUAGGAUACCAUACAUGUGUUAUUUUAACAAAUAUGUAAACAGAUAUAGAGGGUCGCGGGUGGCGCUGUGGUCCAAACCACUGAGCCUAGGGCUUGCUGAUCAGAAUGUCAGUGGUUCGAAUCCCUGCAAUGGGGUGAGCUCCCAUUGUUCGGUCCCAGCUCCUGCCCACCCAGCAGUUCGAAAGCACGUCAAAGUGCAAGUAGAUAAAUAGGUACCACUCUGGCAGGAAAGUAAACGACGUUUCCGUGUGCUGCUCUGGUUUGCCAGAAGUGGCUUAGUCAUGCUGGCCACAUGACCCGGAAGCUGUAUGCUGGCUCCCUCGGCCAGUAAUGACAGAUGAGCGCUGCAACCCCAGAGUCGUCCGUGACUGGACCUAAUGGCCAGGGGUCCCUUUACCUUUACCUUAAACAGAUAUAGCUGAAGGGAAGGUCUGUAGCUCAGUAGCAGAGCAUUUACUUUACAUGCAGAAAGUCCCAGGUUCCAUUUUUGCCCUUCUCCAGGUAGGGCUGGAAAUGUCCCCUUUCUGAAAGCCUGCCAGUCAGUGUACACAGUAAUGAGCUAGAUCAGCACAAUGCACUUUCCUUGUGUUCCAGGCUGUGAGCAUAGCACUGCAAAAAUACAGAUUCCUAACUUUUUAGACUUUAGCUCUUAUCAGCUGCCCAGUUUGCUACUUCUGGAAGAGAAUGAGCUGUUUAGGAACUUCAGGACAUGCUUGUCAACCAUUUCCUUUGCAACAGGUAGAUUGGAACAAAUUGUAUCUGUGGGAAAAAUACAUAGGAACUUUCCAUCAGAGCCUUGUAAAUGAGGAUAGGAUAGAAUGGCCCUGCGGCUGGCAAAGAAGGGCAUUGGCACUAGAGCUGUCAGCACCUCUAGAGCACUCAAGAAUCAUGGUAACAUCUUGGCAUUAUUUGAAGUUGGGCCUUUGACAUGCUUGCAUUUUCCCUAAGAAGUUGGUGUUCCCAGUGCUUGUUGUUCCUUUGACAUGGUUCUUUUGCUGCACUUUUUCUAAUUUAUGAAGCCGUAAUAAAGUCCUUGUAUAGAGGUACUCUGUGGGAGGUAAGAGACACCUCUUUGUGGAACAAAUCAAGAAUUAUGGUAUUUAUUUAUUUUUGGUCAGGGAAAACCUAUUUGCCAUUGAUACAUUUGUCUUCUCAUAAGUACAUUUGAUUUCUCAUAAUAGAAUGUAUAAGAUUCAAUAGCAUCCCCAUUGGGGAAUUAAUGUAAUUCAAUCAUUGUUGCAGAUUAGGUGUGGUUUUGAGAGUCUGUCUUCCUCUAAGCAGUGUGCAGUACAGGAGUUUUUUCCAUCUGUUUACUUGGAUUACUGCUGCAACAUGCUGUGCUCUUUGUGAUUACUAGGAACAUGUGAAUUGUGAGGGCAAAGAGUCUUAUUCAUGACAAUGGCCCAUGGUUGUAGAAAUGCAUGGGUCAUGACCGCUGAAUUUUAUUAAAUUUGUGGUGCCAAUGGAUUCUAUGCAGAGUAAACCAAACAUACACUCUCAUUUUUUAAAUGUCCACAGCUAAGCUUUAUUGAAGAUUUCUGUGUGGCUAUUCCAUUGUGCUUGCACAAACUUGACACUUUGCUGAACUCUUGGUUUGCAAAUCCAUAAGCAUAAAUUUUGCUGCAGGGACUACCUGGCCUUAUGGGUGUGUAAAUGAGCUAUCCAAUUCACAGUGAAAGUCUUUUGGCCUGCUAGUCCUUUAAUGCAGAACAAUGACCCUAUGUUGUUUGAAGUGUUUUUGUCACUGUACAUUUUAAUACAGGUACCCAUAUAUUCCGGCGUAUAAGACGACUGGGCGUAUAAGAUGACCCCCAACUUUUCCAGUUAAAAUAUAGAGUUGGGGUAUACUCGCCAUAUAAGAAAUACGACCCGGCGUAUAAGACGACCCCCAACUUUUGAGAAGAUUUCCCUGGGUUAAAAAGUAGUCUUAUACGCAGGAAUAUAUUGUAUAUUGGGGAAACUGCCAGUAGGCAUAACGGGAAGCUGCCGUUGGACUCCUUUUCUGAUUCUGUAUCCAUGUUUAUGUGUGUUUUAUAAAGGCUUUAUUUUUUGCAGGGUUGUGGGGAACACCACUUGUGUCAAAGUGAUUGAUCCUUUGUUGUGUGAAAUUGUGAAGUGUUCGUUCUUGUAUUUCUCAGGAGGAUUUGUCCAAAUCUCUCCCGCACCCCCCUCCUCAGAAAAAUACAGGCCAAGAAGCUGAGAGCAUAUCACAAGAUAACAGCACACCUUUUCUGAGCAAUUGCCAGGACAUUUUAGCCAAAGGGGGUCCUUGGAUUCCAUUAGUGAUCCUUCAACUGCUUAUGUCACAUGGGAGGGAGAGGAAAUUGCUCAUCCAAUUUCUUUCUUUGGACAUAGCAGAAAACAUCCCACCCCGUGUUUCAUGAGUGCCACCUCUUACUCGUUGUGUAGACGAGAGCUUUCAGCAGAAGCACAUGCACUGCUAGCAAAAAGUCCCAGGUUCAAUCCCUGGUAUCUCAGAAAAGGCUCUGUCUCAAACCCCUGAAAGCUAUUGCUAGUCAUUGUAGAUGACAGCCGGGGAAUCUUUUACAGCCUAAGGACUGCAUUCCCUUGCGUUCAGCCUUCUUGGGACCAUAUGCCAGUGACAGGUGGGGCAAUGGAUGCGACUCUUAUCUUUGUACAUUAGGCUACAGUUAAGCCACACACAAGAUCUGUUUUUCCUAUGCGUAUCUCUCUCCAUCUAGGCAAGCAUGACGCAUUGUUGCAGUUCAAGGACGUAUUCUAGCGAGGCAAAAGAACUGGAGGCGUUGCUAUGGAGAGUUCCAAGGCCUAGAGAGGCCUGGCAGGCUGCUUUGGGCUCCUUGGCCUGAGGUUCUCUUCCACUGUGGCAGAUAAGACUCAGCUAGAUGGAUUAAUGUUUUGACUUGGUUGAAGGCAACAUCCUACGUUGUCACCACAGCAUAACAAUCUGUGAUGGGAGCCCUGUUCUCCUUUGCAUCCAACGAAUGUUAGCUUUGGAACUGCUUUCAACAAUAUGUUUUCUCAUGUCAGAUUCUUAAAAUAUGUAAAGGGAGCAGACAGAAAAUGGCCAUAGGCAUGCAUUUUUAUUUUUAUUUUGUAAUGUUGUGCCGCUUUGAGAGACAAGGCUAGCAACAACUGUUAGCCAUAAUGGCUAUAUUCUGCUUGGCAUUAUGCCUCUGACCAGUUGCUGGGAAUCACAGGUGGGCAAAGAACUGUUGUGCUUGCAGGCUUCCCACAGGCAUCUGGUCAGCCACUAUAAGAACAGGAUGCUGGACUAGAUAGAUAGGCCAUUGGCCUGAUCCAGCCAUUGGCCUGAUCCAGCAGGCUCUUCUUAAGUUGCCUCCAGCACCCUUUUCUGCCAUAUUGUGCUCCUCUUCAGUUAGAGAGACAGAUCUGCAGCUAUUUCUUGGUCCCUUCCCUGCAAUUCUUUUUCAGGAUAUACCGGUAUGUAAUAAAAUAUAAUACCAGAGGAAUGAAAGUCCAGGGCUUUCUCCCCCUCUGCUUUACAAUAAUUAUAUGAAAUUGUGCUAUUUCUGUGUAAUAUGGUGGGGUGCUAUAUAAUCAUUAUGAGCUUCAGAGGUUUCUUCUUUUGUGUCUGCACUUUUGAAUUUUCCUGUAUACUAUAAGCUCCUUUCUUGUGGAUUUUUGUUGUUGUUGCAAACCCAGUUAUUUUUUUAAAAAUAGGUGAUGAUGCUUAUCUUUUAAAGCGUUGCUAUAAUUUUUAAAUACUUUGUUGCUCCAUUCUUAAAACUGCAAGGGGGUAAUGUGGUUUCCACAUUCAAUGACAGGAGCAUUUUGUCAAAAUCCUGUCUCAAGACAUUUUAUAGCAGCAAGAAGAAAUAAGUAAUUUCCUAAACUUGCCCUUUUUACCUAUGGAGGCCAUAAAAAAUGUUAAUGCAAAUGAUGUUGCCUUCUGUUGUGUGACGGUAAUUGGAAAUGGAUCACUGCAGUUUAUGAGGCACUUAUCCUUUCGGGUCCACAGUAAAUGGCUCACUUUGAGUGAUGUUUCCUCAUUUGAUUUCCUCUUCUUUCACACCAGAAAAAGUGAGUAGAAAGACCAAAGAUAAACAUGGAGUUGAUUUUGAAGUUGACAUAAUUUUUGUAAGCUGUGAAUUUAUGUUUAUCAUGUGUUUGCUAGAGCAGAGGUAAAGAUUAUAGGAGGUAAUCUUCUUUAUACCUUAGUUUGUUUUAUUGGCUAUGUGCUACACCAUCUUUGAUUUCCAACCUUCCGCCCCGUUCUUUUAUUUCAAAGGGUUUUACUUUGUUCUGCAAUGAAACCUUUCAUUGUGAUCCUUUAUUCGUUACUCUGUUGACCUUUUGGACAGCAGGAGACAUUUGAGGAUGCUACAAUAAUCACAUCAUAUCCUCCUUCAUAUUUCUCCACAUUAACCUCUACAAUCUUAAUGCAAUAAUCAAGGAACUGAUGAAUACCCCUGCUCAUGGUGUGAAUUUACGUAUCCUUUACUUAUUUCAAAUGUUACUUUUAAAUCUCCUAUGACCCCUCCCCCCCCAAAAAAAAUCUGGGGUCACAUCUGAUUCUACAUGGCAGGUCAUUUAACAUUUUUUGACAAUGCUGUGCACAAUGUUCAUAUUAACAUGCUUACUGGGUUUAAAUAAUCUAGAUUAGGCAUCCCCAAACUGCGGCCCUCCAGAUGUUUUGGCCUACAACUCCCAUGAUCCCUAGCUUAACAGGACCAGUGGUCGGGAAAGAUGGGAAUUGUAGUACAAAACAUCUGGAGGGCCGAAGUUUGGGGAUGCCUGAUCUAGAUAUUGGCUUCUGUUGGAGCAAGUUACUGAAAAACCUUUCAGUUUCUCCAUUGAAGUUCCUGCCCUGCAGCUCAAGUUUCCAAAUGCAAGUGAAAUGUAUGGUAAAAUAAAUGGCAGAGUAAGUCUGUUUGAUUCUACUCACUUAAGUGUAAUUGGCUUCUAAGUUCUCACUGUACUUUAGCAUGACUGUUUAAUGAUUUUUCUCUCAUCAGUCACUUCUGUAAAGGUGUGAUGUUGUUUUACUCAGUAGGCUGUCACUCGGCUUCUUUGCACUUCAAAAAGAUCUAAGCUUGCUGAUUAUGACUUUGCUACUUCCUGUUUAAUUGUUAUAUACUUAAAAGGAUUCCUUGUUUUAAAACCAUAUGGUAAUGAACACAAGUAUAAAUCCUUCAGACCUGCAAGUCUAUAAAGUUUUGAUAUCUUGUCAUUCUUCCUCUUGUUUUGAAGAUUCGUGUAAUCAAACUCUGCAUGCGCUUUUCACUUCUAUGGGACAGUUCAGACUUGAAAAAUCUCUCCACAUUGAGUGGCCUGAAGACUUUGUUGCAUGGGGAAAGUAAAUCUGGCCCAGAGCAUCUUCAGCUAUAGGAGCCACUCUGGCAAUUCAUGUGAGCAUGCAGCACACUUUUCAGCUCAUGCAAAUUGCUUUCCAGACAAACAUCUGCAAUGUGGCGCAUACUGGAUUAGAUGCUGCUUGCUUCAUUUGGCUGCCUCUCUGAAGGUGCUGUGUUGAUGGGCUGGCAUGGGCUCACUUCUUUGCCUUUUAGCAUCUGUGGCAGCAGUGGCCAGCAUGUGGCAGGUAAUCUGUGGCAGCAGCUGCACAGGAAUAUGGCAGAUGAGCCCUGAAAACUGUGUAGCUGGAUGAGCAGCAGACAGGCCACAGUGGCAGGUGGAUGGUGUCACCAUCAUCAGAGGGGUACUAGCUGAAGGAUACCUGAAAGACCAUCUCACUCUUGAGGGCCUCCUGCAGAUACUUUCUUACAGGAGGUCCAUUCUACUGCAACAUAGGAAUCAGACCUUUAAUGUUGAAGCACCUACCCUUUGGAGUUCCCUCCCUUUAGGCAAGAAGGGACCCAGGUGGCGCUGUGGUUAAACCACUGAGCCUAGGGCUUGCUGAUCAGAAGGUCGGCGGUUCGAAUCCCUGUGACGGGGUGAGCUCCCGUUGCUCGGUCCCAGCUCCUGCCAACCUAGCAGUUCGAAAGCACGUCAAAAUGCAAGUAGAUAAAUAGGAACCGCUACAGUGGGAAGGUAAACGGCGUUUCCAUGUGCUGCUCUGGUUUGCCAGAAGCGGCUUUGUCAUGCUGGCCACAUGACCUGGAAGCUAUACGCCGGCUCCCUUGGCCAAUAAUGCGAGAUGAGCACGCAACCCCAGAGUUGGUCACGACUGGACCUAAUGGUCAGGGGUCCCUUUACCUUUACCCUUUAGGCAAGAGACAGAUACUGUCUCAGUUGUCUUUUCAGCACCUACUGCAGACUUUCCUCUUCAAACAAGCCUUUUAAGUAGGUAUCUUACCCACUGUGCACUUGCAUUGGAAUUUUGGCAAACAUGCAAACGUCAACACAGCUAAUCACAAUUCCAAGAAUAAAUUUAAUAAAUAAUAAUAAUGCUCAUACAGUAGACUAAAAAAAUGGCACCAAUAUUGAGACACACAUUCAUUGUGACCCUGGACACUGUGUUUGGCUUUUCUAAAACAUAAAAUGGCACUGAAGUUUUCAAUUCACCAGAGAACCUGGAUAGCCAUGGCUUAGAUCAGCAGUGGAAGGAAAAACUAUAGUCUUCUUGAAAUUAUUCUGCGCUAUAAUGAUCAAGUCCUCCAGAUGUUUCUGGAUUAUAACUCCCAUAAUUCUUUGGCCAUGGUGGCUGAGGCUGAUGGGAGUUAUGAUCUGUCCAGCAGCAUAUUAUUUAUAACAUUUCUCUCCCCCCCUCUCUCUCUCUCUCCCUCCCUCCCUCCCUCUCAACCUCUCUCAACUCUAAGUGAUGUAUAGGAAACUCAAGCACCAUCAGACAACUUAAACAACAAAUGUUACAAAAAUACACAGUUUCUCAGGGAUGACUCACACCCCAGCCAUCACCUCUUUAAUCUUCUACCCUCGGGCAGGAGAUAUAGAAGUACAGUAUAAUCAGCCAUACCAACAGGCUAAAAAAUAGCUUCUAUCCGUGGGCUGUUAGGCUGUUGAACGGAAAAUAACAUAGCGAAAUUGACUUGUGAGGUGGUGUGUUGUUCGAUAAGAGAUUGAGUGUUUGGGUGUGGGAGGAGGGAGGCUCAUUUAAUUUCAUUGUACACAGGUUGUACAAUGACAAUAAAGGUAUCAUCAUCAUCAUCAUCACCAUAUAAAAAUGUUACAUUGAACAAAAUUACUAAUAAGUAUAAACCAGUAUCAUUUAUUUCACCUUUAGACACACACCUUCCCUCUCAACCUUCUUGGCCUUACCCAGGGUCCAAACAAACUCUCAGCUCGCCUGCAAUCUGAAGGGUACUACAUUGGUUAUUCCUGUAGUAGAGUAAAAUGAUAUUGACAUAUUGAGGUACUGUCAAUAAAUAAAACGGUCUCACACUCUGUUAUGCAUUAAGAAAUGUGUUAUGAAGUUUAUCAAGCAUUGUAAGUAAUAAGGGAGCCAAGAUACUCAGAAAGUAAAUAAUAAAUGAUUAUGUUCGAUAUGAAAGCAGAUAAAUACGUAGAAACAGACUUCCACUACUAAAGCGAAUCUGCAUAAAAAUGUCCACAAAUCUUUUCAGUAUAUUGGCAUUUUUUUUUUGGUAAUUUAUGAUUUGGAGUACAUGGUGGAACAACACUGAACAAAAUGUACCCCUUGAAGAUAAGAAUUGUUGUAAAUGUCUAUGUUGGUGAGAACAGCAUGCACUGAAGAAAAGUUAUUCAGAUGCAUUUUAAUCAUUAUCAGAUUGAAGUCUUUUGUAUUUGUAUGUAUGUGUUAUAUAUACAAGUAUUAUUUACAUAUCUACUAUAUCUGUAUUUUUUUAAUGGGAGGGAAUAUUUUCUGGGAUUGAUCCUGAGAUAACUUGUGUUUUGCAGAAGGGCCCCUUCUGUCCAUAGAAAGAGGUUUCAUCCAGUGAAGGAGGCCUGCUGCAAAUGGACAGGGAAGACAAUUUUCACUCUGCCCUUUCCAACAGCCCCCUUUCCACCUCCCACAUGGUUAUAGAGGGUCUCCAAACACCCUGGACCAGAUUUUCUAGGUACUGGUGCUGAUUUGUUGCUAUGUGCAGUCUGAUCCAGUCUGCCAGGUUGGAAAUCAUGGCAGCUUGAAAAGCAGAUCAACCUGUUAAGAUCGUGGUGGGUGGGAGAAUGGAAAUGCUUCCUGUUUCAGCUGCUUGGUGGGUGGGAGAAGGGGGACAGAUAGCAGCAAUUCCAAAAUGUAUACUUGGGAGUAAGUUCCAUUGAGUACAUCUGGACUUAGUCCAGUUGGUGCAGGAUUGCAGGCUAAAGCAAAUAUCUUUUUUUUUUAAA